GCUGGCUGUGCAUGUUGACGGCGUUUCGUUCUUGUUUAGCUCUCGCUCAGUCUGGAUUGUGUGGCAGCGCACGGAUAUUCGCACAAAUGCAUGCAAUUCAUGUCCAGGGAGAGGGCUCUGAGUUAGCUGUCUCUCCCUGGAGACUAACCUGUGCCAGGGAGCCUGGGCUUGUGUAUCACUACGUGUUGCAACACAGGUCCUGUUUCGGUACAUUUGAUCUCCUUGAGCCUUUGGGCAGAGUCGUGAGUGAUGGGAUAUUUGAUCUGAGUGGAUUUUGUGAGUCAUAGUACAAAGUCCCUAAGAUGUGUGUGCCUGUAUUCCGGGGUGUGCAUUUUUGGAGCUUUCUGGCCUUUCAGUCCCUGGGUGUGAGAUUCCUUUGUAGGUGUGUGCACCUGAGAUUGUGAGACCUCUGAAUUUUUGAUUCUGGUCCCAAGUUGUGAUGUCUCUGAGCUGCUUUAAGGAUGGGUUUGUCUAAAGAUGUGAAGUCUCAGCUGCUUGGGGAUCUGUGAACAGGGUGCAGGUUUUCCAUUUGUUUGGGGACUUUAUCUAAAGGUCGUAUGAUGUUCUUGAGUUAUUAAAGGUUCUCUUUCCGUUUAGGGUUUUUGUAUUAGAUUGUUAAGUGUCCGAGUGGUUUGGGAGUCAGUCUCCAUGGUGUGAAGUAUCUGUGCAGUUCUCAUUUGUUUCUGUCUUGAAGACUUUGGUCUGUUUGGAGGGUCUUUGUCACAGCGUGUGUGGUUAUGGUCUCAGUUGUGUUUGAGGGUCUGAGACGAGUUGUGUGCUCUCUGUGCAGAGAUUCAGUGAGCUCUUUUUGGUGUCUCUGAGUAUCUAUCUGAGCUGUCUGGAGUCUCUGUGUCAGAAAUAAAACCUCUUAUGUUCUUGGCUAGAGGUCUCUGUCCAUGAAAUGAGCGUUUGGAAGCUGGCAGAUAUGAUUCUGAGGCCUGGAACCUGACAUGCAGAAUGUGUGUUCUUAAAUGUUUCAGUUGUCUCCUGGAAUCUCAGGUUGUUCAUAAUUGUUACAAUGGGGCCAGUGCACGUCUUGCACGGUACCUGUGCAUGUUAGCAAUGUGUGUUGCCUGGCUCCAGACUAUCCUUCAGCAAAUGUUUUCUGAGCACCUGUAAUCUACCUGAGCACUGUUGGAGGAGUUUGUGACAGGACAGAACUGACCAAGUCUCUUCUUUGAUAGACUUGGUGGUCAGUAAAUAUAUCACGGGUGGCAGGCACUAUGAAAAAAGAUAAUGCUAGAUCAGGGGAAAGGGUAUAUGUAGGUAUGAUGUUAUUAUUUUAUUCAAGGUAAGGAGGGAAAGUCUCCCUGAAAGAUGGCAAGUAAGCAGAGAUCUGGAGGGAGUGAGGGAGCAGGCCAUGGGGUUGUGUAAGGGAAGAGUAUUCCAGGCAGAAGGAACAACCAAUGCACCUGUCCUGGCAUGGAAAUCUACUUGGCGUGCUCCUCAAUGUCAAGGAGUGCUGUGAUGCACUGGCUUUGGCAUGUAGCACUCAUCGAAAGUGGUCUCGUUGCUGAUGUCUCUGUUUCUCCCACAAUUUUUGAUCAUCUGCAUUUCACAGAUGAAGGACUGAAGGCUCCAAUGUGUGCCCUGCACCGUCUCCUACCCAUCCCUGAAAUUAGGAGUGAGACCUUCUGGUCCAUCCUGAGAGAGAGAGAGAGUUUGAGUGUCUGAGCUGCAGGGAUGUCACGCUGAAUGUCAGCCAAGCAGCAGAGAUCAGUUAUAAUGUGGGAAUCAUGCCUCGUAACAUUGGUACUCUUGAUGGAGGGCAGGACUUAAGAAGGAAAAAGGAACUGGGGCAAAGGACAGAGGCAGGAAGGGAAGUUGGAGGACAAUGAGAAAGAAAAGCAAAAACGACUGGCUUCAUCACAUUGCUUGGGUUUGGCCCAGUUCACGUUGAUUGACUGUAUUAUGACAUAGUCAACUCUUCCUGUCCCUACCCUUUCUUUCCCUUCCCUUUUUUGUGCCUGAGCAAGUCAGUCCUAAAAGCGUUAGGUGUCGCCAGGUAAGGCAUGUGUAUGUGUAAAGGGGCAUCCCUGCCUGGAGAGUCAGAGCCCAAGGUGGAAAGAAUAUCCCUGGGGAUUGAGUGUGAAGGAGGCUAACUGCUUCACGGAUUCAAGGUUGAGUGAGGUGUGGAAGUCAAGGGCAAGGGAUGGUUCCGCAUAGAUUGUGAGGAGGACCCUUUCGUGGAGGAUGGAUCACUUAUAUGCAUUGGGAUUCAUCAACUCAGCAAAUAGAUAAGAAUACUGAGAGCCACGUCUGUCAUUUUUGGAAAAGGGAAUUUCCAAUAUGGAAAUGAAGUAAACUAGAACAAAUUCUGAGGAAUUCUACUGGAAUUAAAGUUCUCCAUGUAAACUUCUUGUAUUCGAUAGCUGUGCAUAUGUGGCUAGACUGAUAUAUAGCUAUAGAUGUGUGUCUAUGUGUAUGUGUGUGUGAUUAUGUACACACAUAUAUUCCCAAGUUACUGGUUAUAGCAACAUUCCAUUGGCAAUAAUUUCACCAGUCCCCAGAUCCUAGCUUCUGAACACCUCUCUCCACUAAAUGAUGGGUUCCCAGGCUGAGGAAGGAAGGGAUAAAUGAGCCUGGUUCACCUUCUCAUGUCAGUAACAAGGGAAGGUUCAAGAAUGAUGGGGAGAUGUCAGAGGGACACAGAAUAUAGCUUGAAUGCUCUCCCGGACACAUUCAGGACUCUCUUAUUUUUUCCACCUUUUUUGAGGUAUCAUUGACAUAUAACCUGUAAGUUUAAGAUGCCAAUGUGAUGAGUUGAUACACACAUAUGUGGCAAAACGAUUCCCACAGCAGGGUUGGCACUCUAUCCCCUCACAUAAUCCUUUUUAAAAAUUGUUGAGGAAAUAAUAUCUCAGAACUACCCUCUUAGCUUUCACUGUAUUAUACAGUUUUGUUAAUUAUACUCACCAUGCUAUACAUUGGAUCCGCAUAACUUAUUUUUCUCAUACCUGUAAGUUUGUACCCUGUAUUCAGCAUUUUCCACAGGCCCUGGAAACCACCAUUCUAAACUCUUGGAAAUUUCUACACAUAGUUGCUUACAACUUUUGGUUGAGGGGGGAGGAGCCAAGAUGGCGGAGGAGUAGGACGGGGAGACCACUUUCUCUCCUACAAAUUCAACAACUUUUGGUUGAAGCUGCAAAGUAAAUUUCAGCACUAGGGUGUUUUCCAAUGAGUCAGCUAUUCUCAUCAGGUGGCCAAAGUAUUGCAGCUUCAGCAUCAGUCCUUCCAGUGAGUAUUCAGAGUAUUCAGUAUUCAUUUCCUGUAGGAUUGGCUGGGUUGUGCUCCUUACUGUCCGAGGGAUUCUAAAGGGUCAUCUCUCUAGCACCACAAUUCAAAAGCAUCACUCAGCCUUCCUCAUGAUCCAACUCACACAUCUGUAUACAACUACUGGAAAAAGCAUCGUUUUGACUCUGCAGACCUUUGUCAGCAAAGUGACGUCUCUGCUUUUUAAUAUGCGGUCUAGGUUCAUCAUGGGUUUCCCCGGGGGCUCAGCAGUAGAGAAUCCGUCUGCGAGGAAUUAGGACACCUGGGUUCAAUCCCUGGGUCGGGAAAUAUCCCUGGAGGAUGGCAUGGCAACCCACUCCAGUAUUCUUGCCUGGAGAAUCCCCUGGACAGAGGAGCCUGGCGGGCCUUGGUCCAUGGGGUCGUAAAGAGUAUGCUGAGAGACGUCACCUCCCAAACAGAAUCUCUGGCCAAUGGGCUGUCUCCCUAGCUUUACUCAUCUCAAGUGAAAUCUGUUCCCUGGGCUCAGAAGCCACGUGAGAUAACAAAGGAAACUUGAGGCAGUGGUGCUUUAAGCAGUGAUUUGGUGUGAGAUCUUUAUUCGUUUGGGCCAGGUGACUGCAGGGAAUGAAAUGGGGUAGGGUGAUGAAGGAAAUGAGAUGAUGACUUUAUAGUCCCAGCCACCUCCCUUCCCCCAGGUAGACGACUUCAGUAGGGCUGGCUGGUGUCAAGGGCGUGCGUAUAGGCUGACUUGUAACAACAUCCUGUGUGUGGUAUGAGCAACUUGGUGGGCAAAUCAGACAGCAUGGCCAAAUACUCAUUUCUCAGAGUGGAUGGAGGGAGACGAGAGAAAAGAAUGAUGAACCAUGGGUUAGUUGUGAGUCAGUUUCUAAAAUCUCAGUAUUUCUUCAGAAGGUGUGUGUGUGUGAAUUCUUUUCUUUAUCUGAUAAUUGGCUUUCUACAUGAGGAAAUAUCAUCGUGAGAGACUCCUUGUGACAUGUGACAAGAGGGUGGGAGUGAAUUGGGUUAAGGUCAUUUUCCAAGUCUUUUCGAACAUUUUCCAAAGGUUUUCCAACAUUUUCCAAGUGUUUCACACAAAGUGUUUGUUUAAGGGGAUAGCAGUGCCCUUAAAGAACUGAACUAAGUGGUUGAAAUACAGGUUUCAGUUUCUGAAAUGUGAAGAGACUCUGGGAUGUGUGUUCAUCCUAGCCAGUGGUCACAGGCAACUCAUAAAGUCAUAGGACUUGAACUGUGUCUUCCUAAUGUCUUUUGCUUUCUUCCCUUGAAUGUGGUGGAGGCCUCAGUUACGGUACUAAAGUUCCUAAGUAACAAUUCUCUGAGAAAUGUAGCUCUCUAGAAAAGAGCAGUGCCUGGGAAGCUGAUCUAAAAUUUUAAUAUAGCCUGUGAUGUAAUUUUUAUUAGCUUCACCCAAGAUAUGAUCAUUCAAAGAAUCUAGAGAGAUGCACCUACUUCGGUAUCUACCAUUGGAUUUUUCAAAUGAACACACAGUAAGAUUGGCCCGGUUUUCUUUCUUAUUAUAUAUCUAUUUAUUGGUGGCUGCACUGAGUCUUUGUUGCUGCACGAGGCUUUCUCUAGUUGUGGAGAAGGAGGACUACUCUCUAGUGGCGGUGCAUACGCUUCUCAUUUCAGAGACUUCUCUUGUUGUGGAGCAUGGAGUCUAGGCUCGAGGGCUUCAGUAGUCGAAGCAGGUGGGUUCAGUACUUGUGAGACACAGUCUUAGUUGCCCUGUGGCACGUGGAAUCUUCCUGGACUAGGGACUGAACGCCUGCCCCGUUGCAUUGGCAGACUAAUAGGCCAUAUGAGCGCAGGUUUAUUUCUGACAGAGUAUCCCCAACUGUACCCUCCGGAAAGGCUGGGGUGAAGUGAGAAGACCCGGUGACUUCAAUGUCCAUCCACAGCUGGUGGCACACCAAGUCUGGAUAAGUUACAGAGUAGGAGCCAGAAUCCUGUGAUGUGCAGAGAUGUCCAACACGUCAAAUCCUAGACCAGAGACUGAGCCAUAGGAACCAACAGGCCAGAGAAUACUGGAUGGGAGUUGGCUUAAAUGCAGUGGCCAAAUAACAAAUCUGAAUGUACCUAUAGCAAGCAAUGAUAUUGAACCAUUCAUUUAAACACCUUCCCAUAAAGGGAAGUCCUGGGACUCCUGGUUUCAUCAAUGAAAUCUAUCAAAUGUUUGAAGAAGAAAUAGCACGCAUGCUUCACAGAUUCUUCCUGAAUAGACAGGAAGGAGGAGGGAACAUUUCCUCAUUCAUCCUAUAAGCACACUAUUAGCCCGGUACCAAAGCCAGACUUGACAUCACCAGAAAGCUACAGAUCCAUAUCUAUCAUGAAUAGCGAUGCAUACACCCUCAACACAGUAUCAGGAAACCAAAUGGAGAAAUAUUUUGCAAAGGGCUGUGCAAGAUUUUUCCCAGGAUUGCAGUAUUGGACCAACACUCAACUUCAGUUAUGGGAAACAGUGUAUUGAUAUAAUGAAGGACGGAAACCACCUGUCACCUUGACAGACAAAGAAAAAGCAUUUGACACAGUUCAAGACCCGUUCAUGACAAAUAAGUAAAUAACUAAAAUCAAUAAACACGGUCAACCAGCUCAGGAUAGAAGGGAUCGUCGUCGUGGUGCUGAAGGACAUCCCCGAGAACCAUCCUGCUCUCGUCACGUCACAUCCAGUAGUGUCUGAGUGAAUGCUUGCGUCUUGAGAUCCAGACCAAGGACAGGGGGUCUGCUUCAACCACCUCUAUUCCACACUGCCGGAAGGGUCUAGCCUGUGCACCGUGCAAAAGGAGAAAUGACAUCAUUGGGAAAUGAGAAGCGAAACCUAUGUCCACACAAAUACUUGUCCUUACAGGUCUUUCACAGCAGCACUGUUUCUAAUUUCCAAAUAGUGGAGCAGCCUAAAAGUCUGUCAGCUGGAGAGUGGUAAACAAAGUAUUCUGUAUGUAGCCAUACAGAGGAAUAGCAUAGACGGAUAAAAAGUGAUGAACUUCUGCUCUCUGCUGCCACGUGGGUGAGCUUCCAAAGCAUUAUGCUAAGUGAAACAACCCAGACACAAAAGGCCACUUCCUGCAAGAGUCCAUUGAUAUGAAAUGCCCAGAAAGGGCAAAUCUACAGAGAGGGAAAUCAGACGAGAGGAUGCCUGGGCCUGCAGGUCCUGUUGGGGAUCCACUGCUGACGGGUACAUGGAACCUUUUUGUGGGGCUGGCGGUGUUCCACACCUGCACUGUGGUGGGGGUUGCACCACUGUGUGAAGGUGCUAAAAGUCACUGCCCUGGGAGUGAUGGGUGUGAUUUCUGGUAUGUAAUUAUACCUCAGGAAAGCAGUUUAGGAAGGUAAUGCAGAUGUCCAAGUGAGACAUGUGGGAAAAGGCAUGCCAUUGCUUUGUAACAACGAGGAGUGCCCCUGCUCCUUCCACGUUUUGGGUCCAGCCUUCUCCACGAGUGCUAGAUGCUCCCUCCAGAAACAGUCGCUGUGUACAUCAGGACAGAAUCCCCAGGGAGCACACACAACUAGUGUGUCUCUGUGUUGACUCAAGGGGCCCGUUGUGUGACCACAAGUCAGUGGAUCUGGACGGGCUCCCAAAACCCACCCUGCAUCUGAAAUUCCACUUUGUUGUUUUCCCAUUCUUCUCAAAUCACGUGAACCCAGCUUCCGUUUCCCGGGUAACGGAUCUCAGCCCUUAGCUCCAACCUCUGGUCACAGGAACACCUGUAGCCUGGUGUGAGGCCCCCUGCCUGAGCUCAGCAACCCAGGAGGGAUGCUCAGCAGAGCAGUAACCAAGACAACGCAACUCCAUCCAUUCUCCUUCUGCCUCCAGGACUGAGGUGCGUUCCCUCCACUCCAUCUUCCUGAGCGGUAAGGAAGGUGACUUGGGGACAUGACACAUCUCUGACUCAUUGAAAUUGUUCUAAAUUUGGCUGUGAAUAAAUAUGUAAAAAAUCCUUCAGAAGGUAAUUUCCCUCAGAAGGGAAUUUGUAAUUACAAAUUUUUUUUAAAUUUCAUUAGUAGCAAACAUGGUUCUUCAGUUGAGGAUUCUAUUUAAAACCAGGACAGGUGAAGCAUCAUGUGAUUGUGCUUCUCAAUCUUAACUGUGCAUCAAAUCUCCCCUGGAGAGGCUUUACAACAGUUGAUGCUGGCAGCAUAUCUCAGGAGAGUCUGAUAUAGUAGGGUUGGUGUGUGGCCCUGGCAUGAGCAUUAUCUGAAAAAGUUCUCUUAUGAAAGCCGAGCUUGCAGCUGUGGAAACAGAACCCAUUCUUACUGGAAGAAAUCGAACAUCAAAAACUUGCAACUGUCUACAAGCAAAGCAGGCUUUCAUCAUGGCCCGCUAUGCUUGACAGGCACCUUAGGCUGAGGAAAGGGACAACUUGCCCAAAUAAAUACUUGUUUGAAAACUGACCUUGUGCUUGCUCUCCUGCAUGUUUCUGAAUCCAAAGUUUUACAGUUAAAACCCUGCUGUUGUUAGUGAAACUCAGUAUGUUUUAGUUCUUGUCAGGAUCCCUUGUGCCUAGUUAGUUGAAUACAUUUCUGAAACACUGGAGAUUACUGCAUUGGACAGAUCAAAAGAGUGCUUCAAAAAAAGAGUAAAGAUGGCUCAGAAUUGUAGCUAUUGAUGUUGAUGUGGAAGGAUCGGCUGUCAGCGUAUCUGCUGCCUGGGCUCAGUUGCCAUUUUAAACUGUUUCCUGUGUUAUCAAAUUAACUCCCAUGCUCAGAUGAAGACCAAAUAAGAACAGGAUGUUUAUUGGGAAAAAUACAGUUAAGCAAUCCCUUGUUUGAUGCACACCUUUUAAGACCCACCUCUCGAAACGUUCUACUUUAGGAAUCUCUUCCGGAUAUUCCUUGGCCUGUUCCCCAAUGAUGGGCUUACACUGCUGUGUCCUGACUCACCGUCCUGUUAAAGACAGGGCUUUCAUCCUCUCAGAUGGAUUACAGUGGCCAGGUUCUCUCGGAGAUCCAAAAGAGGGUGAUGGCCUGUGCUCAGGACACCUUAAGAGCGUGUCUGUAGGAACAGGGCCUCUGAGAGGAACGGAUCCCCACCUGUGGCAACAGGAAUAUCUCGGGUCAGCCUUUUCCAGACCAGCUCCAGGGAUGUCAUGGCUCGGUGAAGAUCACACCCAGCAGCAUGUCCGGGAUUGUGGUUGAAGGAACUGGGUGGAUGGCCGUGCCCAUCCAUGAGACACCCCAGGGAACAUUGGCCUGGGGCUACUAGCAGGUCUGCAGUGCUUAUGGGACAUCUGAGUGCAGAUGGCCUAUACGUCUCAUCCUGUGGGGGAAGUGGGGCCCAGUUGGGAAGUCUUAGGUAGAUCUGGUGAUAGGAAAAGCCAUCAGCAUACAGAGUGAUAACGGAUGAAAACAAGUCAGAUGGGUAAAAGCUCUCGGGGGUGACGUGGUCACCCAAGGAUUAUGUGUAGAAUGGAAGAGCACAGGGCAGAGGUGGGAAACCAGAGGAAAGCAAAACCAAGAUUUAGGAGAGGGUUAAAGUAAAUGGACAGACAAGGAGUCUUAGAAGUAAUGGACUGAGAGGGAGGAGGAAAGCCAGGAUGCACUUCUGUCAGAGACUCUGACCAAGGAAAGUGUUUUUGAAGACAGAAUGUGUCUGUGGCCAAUACACCACCGGGUACUAUGGUUUGGCCCACGGAGCUCUUGGGAUACGUUAGCAACGGGAUGUUGUGUGGAUGGGCACUCAGAGGAAGAAUCAAGAGGUAACCAGCUAAGGAUGCUCCUGGAGUCUGUACUUUCAAGAAGCAUGGCUUGAAAGGAAUCAAAGACGCAGCGUAUUGGAAGUAGAGGUCUGUGUGCUUGCAGGGUAUGCUAUUUUCUGUUCUCCAAACCAAAGAGACCAGGAUGCCAGUUCCAAAAGAAUCAUCAGGACUGUUGACUAGAAGACAGAAUGGAGAAUUGGAAUGAUCUUCACAGUGGCCUCAGCGGUCCCUGAGGGAAAGAUGACUGCCCUCUCCUGGCUCCAGCUGUUGAUGCUGACCUGCACCACCCGUGGGUGGGGUGGUGAAACUUGCAUUUCUGUCUCCGUCCUCUUGCUGUGGAUCCAGUGCUCCCUGGCUGACUGAGCCUCAGCCACUCUGCUGGCAUCUUCAGACCCCUCUGAAUCGGGGUCUCAUUGUCCAGCCCAUCCCUGGGCAGGGAUGUCCACUCCUCAGCCUCAGCUGCAAGGUCUCCUAGCCCAUUGCCUGCUUAGGUUUCGUCUGCAUUCUGUCCCUUUCCACAUUUCUCCCUCAGUUGAUUCAGAGCCCUCCCUUGGAUCUCACCUGCAGCAAAGCAGGCACCAAGAUCAGCUCCAGAAAACGAAAUUCCUAAACGACAGCCACCCAUCUGCCCAAAGACAACAUUGGGUCAUUGCGCAGUGUGCCCCCUGGUAUGCUAUUUUCUGUUCUCCAAACCAAAGAGACCAGGAUGCCAGUUCCAAAAGAAUCAUCAGGACUGUUGACUAGAAGACAGAAUGGAGAAUUGGAAUGGUCUUCACAGGUGAUGCAGAGCCCUGCCUUGGAUCUCACGUGCAGCAAAGCAGGCACCAAGAUCAGCUCCAGAAAACGAAAUUCCUAAACGACAGCCACCCAUCUGCCCAAAGACAACAUUGGGUCAUUGCGCAGUGUGCCCCCUGUGAGUCCCAAGUGGGAAUGGGGUGGAAUCUUCCUUUCCCUGGUGUUCCUCUUCAUUUCUUGUCACACCUCCCUUGUUUGAGCCCUCUCACCUCUGCCUGCCACUGCCUCUGUGGGCCGUUCCCCACUGUGACUGGGACGCUCUUUUCUUUGGCUUCUCUUUCAUUUGACCCAAGACUUCCCAUACAAUAUCCUGGGCAAAGGGGGCAUAAGGUAGAAUGUGUCCCUUGUCAAGUACAGUUAGGAUACUUUGGUGUCACAUAAGCCCCACGCCCCUGAAAUAUAAAAACAGAGGGACAAAGAACACAAGAGUCAAGUAUGCCAAAGGUGCCUGAGAUGUUGGCCAAGAUGAGCACUGGAGAGUGUGUGGGAUCAGGCAGUAUGGAUUUUAAUGAUGGGUUUGACAAGGCCAGUUACAGUGCAGUGACUGGGACAAAAGCUUCAUGGAAGGGGGCUGAGUAGAGAAUAUCUCAGCAGAAUUUGAAGCAGGUUUUUUUUGGAGGGCAACCUGUGAUGUGCCAGUAGCUGCAGAAGAUGGUGGUAGAAGAGGAUGGGUUUCCCCCUUUUUUGUGGAAUGCUGCGAUGUAGAGGGAGCAGGGGCUGGUUCAGGCGAGAGGGGGUGAUAACUGCAGGUUGGAAGUCCGUGGGAAGGUGCAAGGCAUGGGAUCCCGGCAGAGGUGAGGGGCUGGGUGCAGUCAGGAGCACUCGGGCAGAUGGGCAGCAGACUGCCAGGGCAGAAACAUGCACUUUGGGAUUGGGAGACUUUAGAAGUCCCACGGAGUUGCUUCUUUCUUCUCCACGAAUUAUUGGCAGGUUGGGCUGGUGGUCAUUAGGAUGGAGAAAGGUUACUACUGUGUAGUGUAGUAGUGUAGGUAGGUGAGAGUGAAAGCGAACAGCUGGCCACGGGUUUAAGAUAAAAAACUUAUGUAAGGUUGUAAAGUUUGCUCCUCAACGCUCAUGUGCUCAGACACAGGCAGGGAGUGAAUAGUCAGGAGUCUGCAAGGAGCCAAUCCGAUCGGGGAGGGGCCUGGCGGAAGGUAUGGAAGGUCGUGUGGUAGUAGAGGUGAGCGUUUCCAGGAUGUUCUGUUAUCCGUGCACUGGCCCUAGAGCUAGGGAGCUGGAGGACAGGACAGCGUGUUGAGGGUGAUGAGAGGGAAGAAGGCUAGAAACAGCAGACCAUGAGGGGCGCGGUCUUUCCUGAUGGCCGGGGGCGGGGAGACCGUGGGCAGGGGGAUGAUCGGGUGGGGAGGAGGGGAACAUCGACGAGGACGGAGAGUCUCCGGGGCGACCGUGGGAGCCUCGUGGGCACUGAGGACGAUCAGAAGAGUGAGAGCGGAGGGAACAGUGAGUAUAACACGGGAGGAACGCGUUCACAGGCCUGGGGUGGGCGGAAGGAGAAAUAUAGGGACUUGUACGGGUUCCGCACUUGUGGGGCUUCGGCAGUGGGCGACAGGACCCGGACAUACACGGUCAGGUUCCUCACUGAAGACUCUGAAACAGGGUCGGAGAGAAAACUCUCAACCAGUCCCAGGAGACUGGCAGGGGCCUCACUGGGUUGCUCCGCGCAGGCCCAGAACCAACCAAUCGGAGCGCAGCCGUGCGCACCAAGCUCCGGAAUUCUGAGACUGCCUGACUUCCUGCCCGAGUUUCCUUGGCUCCGCUAGCCUCUGGAGUCCGCGGUCCACGGUGGUUUGACCGGGCAACUUCGAGAGGUUACCUUCCUUUCUCUGGUCCUCAUGAGAAUCCCUCUUAACUUCCGCAUACAGAGUGUCCAGUCCUCUCCGUGAAAAUCCAAGAAAACCGUUGGCUUUUCUUCCGGGCUUGUGGCGUUUUGGUUUCUGUGGUCGGUAGAUGGCAGUGUGGCUCCAAGUGGAACCAUCCUGUUUCUCCUCCGCCCUUCGUGGUUAAAAAAAACGCCACGAAACUUUUUGCCAUAAGUAGCAGCACACAGUUUUCUCUGCUUGCACAGAUUGGCUGGUUCAAACCUCAUCUGAGCCCUUCAGACAGCCCUUUGUGAAAACUUUGAACAAACCCAUUGACACUGAAAAUUACAAUAAAAUAAUAUAGGCUGAUGUAUUGAAUAGUGGUGGAGAGAGUGAGUUCCUUGUCUUGCUUCUGAUCCUACAGGAAAUGUAGUAUUUAAAUAGAACUUUAUAAUGACAGUGAGUUUUGACUUGAAAAUGUCUAAGUGACAUGGAAAUGAAAGUUGUUCAGUCCUGUCAGGUUCUUUAAGACCCCUUGGACAAUAGGAGGGGAAAGACUAGAGCUCUCUUCAAGAAAAUUAGAGAUACCAAGGGAACAUUUCAUGCAAAAAUGGACUCAAUAAAGGGCAGAAAUUGCAGAGACCUAACAGUAGCAGAAGAUGUUAAGAAGA